AUGCCCAGGGACUGGCCAGGUUGCUUUCAAGCUGUCUGUGUUGGAGGCCCCUGGAGACUGACUCGGGUUGCUUUCAAGUGGAUCAUGGCCAGGUAUGAAGAGGAAAUGGAUCUCAUUUUUGCUUCUCAAAAGCAAGAGAUGACCAACUCCUCUCCCAGCCAGAGUACUCUCUUCCUCAAGAUUCCAAACUCCUGGGGCUCCUCCCCUAUUUAGGAACUCAAGAAACUGAGUCUCCAAGCCAUAAAGAAAUAGGUUUAUUCAGAGAGUCUCACAAUAAAUUCAGACUUCUUGUCAAGACCAAAAAACCUAAAGAACUGUGAGAGACCUUCCUAUAUACCCUCAAAGAAUAUCAUAAUUUUUAUACCAAGUUAAAAAUAAUACAAGACCAUGUUAAAAUAGAGAGAUGUGGAUUGAUUGAAGUAAUAGGGAAACAUUUCUCUCAUUGGUAGAAGUCUCUUGAUAAACAAGAGGAGAGUAGGGGAGCCUGAACCCUGCUUUCUAAGCCUGAUGAUGUCAAGGUUGAUGUAUACUAAGAUGACUAGGAUAAGGAGGAGGUAUCAGGCCUUAAAAAAGGGUAAAAGCCUGAUGAUGUAUAAGGAAUGAAUACAAAGGUGAAAGGGUGUCACCAGGGUUCUAACUGAGGCAAAAGCCCAUAUGCUAAUGAAGGCCAAGUCACAAGUUCAAGACAAUCAUUGCUGAGGGUUUAUGAUAUAAUAGUUUUGAAGGGUAAGGCUAGAACUGAGGCCUAUGCUAACAAUGAUUAAUUAUAUUCAAGCGGUUAUCUUACUUUAAAACUUAAUCUAAAAUAAUCACAAAAGACCUACUAAGAUCAUCAACUGUGCUAAUAUUUAAUUAUCUUAGAAUUACAGUUAUCACUAACUCACAGCUGCUGCCAACAUUAAAAUCUAAUCCUCAUAUGAGGGGGUAGGGGAUUUUUCCCCUCACACUCUCCAAUAUAAUUAAGCUCCUUGAGAUGAUAUUUUUUUUCUUUGUGCCAUGACUGGUACUUAAAAAUUGUAUACUGGUGGCUUAAUUGUUAAAUUUAAAAUUCAAUUGUUCCAAACCAAAAAAGCCUUCUCUGACGAAAGUGUUCUCUCCUUCCUCAAAUUUUCUGAGUUUUCUUCUCUUUUGCUAGAUUUAGAACCAGAGGAUUUUGGUAAUAUAUAGCUAUGUGACCUUUGUAACACUUGGUAUACUUUUUACCAUUACUAGGUUUGACAUAUAUCAGCUGUGAAAUGAGAAAGUUGGACUAGGUGACCUGAAAAGUCCCUUUAGCUCUAAAAUCUGAGUUGACUUUGUCCAAUACUUAUUAGUGUGUAGAUUGUAUAUAUCCCAUAUACCAAAGUCAACUGCCUUAAGAAAAGAUAUGUGUCAUUCAUCAUUUCAUAUCCCCAUUUCACUAUAAGUUUCCUCAUUCAAUAGUUCACAACUAUAGAAUUAAGUUUAAUGGAAUGCAUUUAGUAACAAUCAUUUUGCUCAUUAAUAAAUUUACAUGAGUUUAUAAAAACAAAGGGAAAAUUAUGAAUUCUGAAGAGGUUGACACAUAUUAUAUCUCUUCCCUAAACAAAUCUCAACCCCUUUAAGUGAAAUAUAAAUAUAAUGAAGGCUAUUGAGUACACUUUUGACUGGUUUCACUAAAAAUGAGAUCAGUAUUAAAUAACAGUUCAUAGUUUUGUUUUGAAGUGCUCUUACAUCUAUUAUCUCUAUUUAUUCUCAGGGUUCUAUAAUUACAACCAAAUGUUAUAGUAAUAUACACAUUUACAAUCCUCCUAUCCCAUCACUCAAGAACCAAAAUGAUUUCCAUAAAUAUUGCAAGUCAAUUUUAGAAAAAAUCAAAACAUUUGAUAUUUUAUCAUUGUUCUCUCACUUCUAUUUCAUUAAAGAUGCCAGAAGAAAAUUCAGAAGGGGAUAUAUAACCAGGGUAGAUGACUAUUAAUAUUCUUUUAGAUGUCAUUGAAUUUAAAAAAUGCAAUUUAUAUGUAAUAAAGAUGAAUGAUUUCAAAUAUAACUCUUUUUAUAUUAAGAUACUUGUUUUUGUUGAUUUUUUAUAAUAAAAUAAAUUUAACUCAAAUUAUUGUGAAGAAUCUUUUUCAUUUUGAGUAUCAACAUUGUGCUUUUUUUAUUUUAUAUUACUUCACAAUUUCUUUUCAUCCCUCAUGCUCAUAUAUUCCCAUCAUAUUCUUUAUGCAAUUUUGAAUACAAGUUAUUUGUUAUAAUGCUUUAUAUUCAUUCACAAACCACAAAAGAUCAGGUCUUCAACUCUUAAUCUACUACAAUUUUGUUGUUGUUAUUGUUCAGUUGUUUUAAGUCAUUUCCCACUCUGACUCCAUUUGAGGUUUUCUUGGAAAAAAUGCUGGAGUGGUUUGCCAUUUCCUUCUCCAGCUCAUUUUACAGCUGAAGAACUGAGACAAAUAGGCGUAAGCGACUUUUCCAGUGUCACACAUCUUGUAUGUGUCUGACAGCAAAUUUGAACUCAGGAAAUUAAGACUUCUUGACUUCCAUCUAAUGCUCUAUCAGUUGUGCCACAUAGCUGCCCUGGUCUAUUAUAAUCACCUUGAUAAAUUUAAGUCUCUCUUCUGACUAUUAUAGCCUCCACAUAGCUAGUUACAUGUUAUUCAUAUAGCUAAUUACUAGCUACCUCAAUCUCCUAGUCAAUAUAGUUCAGUGUAGCCCUAUUACCUUUGUGAUUAAUUACAAACUCCUGUGUUUGUCAUUAAAAAUCCUUGAAAUCUUGUCUCAAUAUUCCCUUUCUAGAUAUAUGAUUGGGUUCAAGGGUUAGAACAAAACGAGUUUGAAUUUCAGUGCUCAACUAUCUCAUCAUAUCAUUGUAGCUUAGUUUUUUUACUCUGAGAAUUCUCACUGUAAAUGGAAAUGAAAAUGCCUACUCUACCUGCCUUGAAUCAAUGUGUUCAGAUCAAAGAAUAUUAUGUACAAGUAUGAUUUGUAAAUUGUAAAGAACAUUAUAAUUCAUCAUUAUUAAAUAAGAAACCACCCCCCAUAUAUUUGUGGGAAUUUCUAAUUCCUCCAGUACAAUGAUUUUAUCAAAAAAAGUCUACAAUAUUCCCUGUAAGAAACCACCCCCCAUAUAUUUGUGGGAAUUUCUAAUUCCUCCAGUACAAUGAUUUUAUCAAAAAAAGUCUACAAUAUUCCCUGUAAGACAUCCCUUAUAGAAUAGUCAUCAAGGUCUUUAAUAAGCAAAUUUGUAGAAAAAAAUAUCUUAGAGUUGUAAGGGAUUUCAGAAUCUAUCUGGAAAAAAAAAUUCAAGCUGUAUAGAAACAUGCUUUACAAUAUCUCUAGAAAAGGGGUGAUCUAAUCUUCACAAUUAACCCCUGAGUGAGGAGGAACUCACCUAACUACAGAGGCCAUUUUCAAUUGUUAAAAUUUUGUUGAGAAAUUGUGUUUUUUUUUUCCUUCGCAUCAAAACAAUGCCUAUAGUUUUGAAUUUUCUAACCAUUUCUGCUAGUUCUGUCAUCAUGGGCAAUGCAGAACAACUCAAAAGUCAGAGUUUUCCUAGCUAGGUGAUCUGAAAUCUCUCAAUGCCCUUUCUAGUAUGUGGUGUCUUGACUUGAAUACAAUAUUCCAGGUGGAUGUAAUCUGAUUAGAACAUAGUACAGUGAAACUCUCAUUUACAAUGUCUUAGAUACUCUGAAUUGAGGAGAACAUUAACUUUUGCAUUUAUCAUGUCACACCAUUGAAAGAAGCUUCAAAGAGUACCACAGAAGAGAAAAUGAAUGAUUUUAUAGAAGCUUAGUACAAUAAUUUUAAAAAUUAAACAAUUUACCCUCCCCACAAAAUCAAUAGAGUUUAGUUAUAAAGUAAAACAUUUAACUGGAAAAAAUUUGCAAGAAGUUUCUCUAAUAAAGAUUUCAUUUAUAAGAUAUAUAAGGAAUAUGAGAUACAUAUUAGUAAGAACAGGAUCCGUUCAAAAAUUGAUACUUUGUCUAAGGAUAUGAAUAGGAAGUUUUCAAGGAAAGAAAUAUCGACAUAUAGCAAUAUGACAAAAAUCUUCCAAAUGAGAACUGAAUAGAUAUACAAAUUAAAUAAAUUCUGAGACUUUGAAUCAUACACCUUUGAAAUAUAUAGUAUCAGUCUAGACAAUAUUUUGGAAUGAGAUCCAAAUUUUAUUAAAGAAACAAGAAUUUAUUAAGUGUCUGUCCUGUGCCAAGCACUGUGCAAAAUAAUUUAAAAUAUCUCAUUUGAUCAUCUUAACAUUUCAGAGAGAUUAGUGAUAUUUUGGUCCUAAUUUUUAUUUUGAGAAAACUGAGACAAAUAGAGGUUUAGUGAUAUAUCAAGGGGCACAGAUUGUCAGAAACUGGAUUAUGAACUGAGAUCUUCCUAACUCCUGACCAAAGUUUCAGUUCAUUGCACCACUUAGGUUCAUAUUUUAUUACCCAAGGAUGAAAUUAAAAGAGGGCCAAGAAUGGAUAAAAUAUAUCUAUACAAAAAUAUUUAUAGCAACCAAUUUUUUUGUCAUAAAGAACUGACAAAGGGAUGUCCUUCAAUUGAGAAUAAAAUAAUUAGUUGAAUAUGAAUGUCAUGAAUUAUUUCUGUGCUGUCAUAAUUGAGAAAACAUGAUUUUCAAAGAGACAUGGAGAAUUCAUAUGAAUUAAUAUAAGAUGAAGUGAGCAGAGACAGAACAAUUUAGAACAAUAGUACUAUAAAAAUGAAAAAUUUCAAAAACCUUUAUAGUCUGAUGAAUAAUGAAAUGGAUAGAAUCAAGAUAAUAAUGU
rnacentral:lncRNA from 1 species